CUCCUACGGGAGGCAGCAGUGAGGAAUAUUGGUCAAUGGGCGAGAGCCUGAACCAGCCAAGUAGCGUGAAGGAUGACUGCCCUAUGGGUUGUAAACUUCUUUUAUAAAGGAAUAAAGUCGGGUAUGGAUACCCGUUUGCAUGUACUUUAUGAAUAAGGAUCGGCUAACUCCGUGCCAGCAGCCGCGGUAAUACGGAGGAUCCGAGCGUUAUCCGGAUUUAUUGGGUUUAAAGGGAGCGUAGAUGGAUGUUUAAGUCAGUUGUGAAAGUUUGCGGCUCAACCGUAAAAUUGCAGUUGAUACUGGAUAUCUUGAGUGCAGUUGAGGCAGGCGGAAUUCGUGGUGUAGCGGUGAAAUGCUUAGAUAUCACGAAGAACUCCGAUUGCGAAGGCAGCCUGCUAAGCUGCAACUGACAUUGAGGCUCGAAAGUGUGGGUAUCAAACAGGAUUAGAUACCCUGGUAGUCCACACGGUAAACGAUGAAUACUCGCUGUUUGCGAUAUACUGCAAGCGGCCAAGCGAAAGCGUUAAGUAUUCCACCUGGGGAGUACGCCGGCAACGGUGAAACUCAAAGGAAUUGACGGGGGCCCGCACAAGCGGAGGAACAUGUGGUUUAAUUCGAUGAUACGCGAGGAACCUUACCCGGGCUUAAAUUGCAGAUGAAUUACGGUGAAAGCCGUAAGCCGCAAGGCAUCUGUGAAGGUGCUGCAUGGUUGUCGUCAGCUCGUGCCGUGAGGUGUCGGCUUAAGUGCCAUAACGAGCGCAACCCUUGUUGUCAGUUACUAACAGGUUCCGCUGAGGACUCUGACAAGACUGCCAUCGUAAGGUGUGAGGAAGGUGGGGAUGACGUCAAAUCAGCACGGCCCUUACGUCCGGGGCUACACACGUGUUACAAUGGGGGGUACAGAGGGCCGCUACCACGCGAGUGGAUGCCAAUCCCCAAAACCUCUCUCAGUUCGGACUGGAGUCUGCAACCCGACUCCACGAAGCUGGAUUCGCUAGUAAUCGCGCAUCAGCCACGGCGCGGUGAAUACGUUCCCGGGCCUUGUACACACCGC
rnacentral:rRNA from 1 species